GAGUUUGAUCCUGGCUCAGGACGAACGCUGGCGGCGUGCCUAAUACAUGCAAGUCGAGCGAGCUUGCCUAGAUGAUUUUAGUGCUUGCACUAAAUGAAACUAGAUACAAGCGAGCGGCGGACGGGUGAGUAACACGUGGGUAACCUGCCCAAGAGACUGGGAUAACACCUGGAAACAGAUGCUAAUACCGGAUAACAACACUAGACGCAUGUCUAGAGUUUGAAAGAUGGUUCUGCUAUCACUCUUGGAUGGACCUGCGGUGCAUUAGCUAGUUGGUAAGGUAACGGCUUACCAAGGCAAUGAUGCAUAGCCGAGUUGAGAGACUGAUCGGCCA
rnacentral:rRNA from 1 species